rnacentral:rRNA from 1 species
CCUACGGGGGGCAGCAGUGGGGGAUAUUGCACAAUGGGGGAAACCCUGAUGCAGCGACGCCGCGUGGGUGAAGAAGCGCCUCGGCGCGUAAAGCCCUGUCAGCAGGGAAGAAAAUGACGGUACCUGAAGAAGAAGCCCCGGCUAACUAGGUGCCAGCAGCCGCGGUACAACAGAGGGGGCAAACGUUAUCCGCAUUUACUGGGUGUAAAGGGGGCGCAGACGGCGAUGCAAGCCAGGAGUGAAAGCCCGGGGCCGAACCCCGGGACUGCUCUUGGAACUGCGUGGCUAGAGGGCAGGAGGGGCAGGCGGAAUGCCUGGUGUAGCGGUGAAAGGCGUAGAUAUCAGGAGGAACACCGGUGGCGAAGGCGGCCUGCUGGACUGCAACUGACGUUGAGGCCCGAAAGCGUGGGGAGCAAACAGGAUUAGAUACCCCAGUAGUA